UGAUUUGUGUCAUAGUUGUCAACUAAUGGUGCAACUGAGGCUCUUUUUCCAUUCUUAGUACUAGUUAGGGCGUUCAGGACUUUGCCAUCAUAUUCUAUGACUUGAUGCCAAUUUUCAUAUGCUUGCUUGACCAGAGAAUCUACUGAUACCUUUUGAUUACGGUGAAGCGAAUCCAAAGGGAGAAACUGCCCAUCAGUAAUAAGGCCUCUGAGUUCAUAAAUAUGGUUGAA
rnacentral:misc_RNA from 1 species